rnacentral:rRNA from 1 species
CAGUAGCCGCGGGAACACGUAGGGUGCAAGCGUUAAUCGGAGUUACUGGGCGUAAAGCGUGCGCAGGCGGUUAUAUAAGUCAGAUGUGAAAUCCCCGGGCUCAACCUGGGAACUGCAUUUGAGACUGUAUGGCUAGAGUGUGUCAGAGGGGGGUAGAAUUCCACGUGUAGCAGUGAAAUGCGUAGAUAUGUGGAGGAAUACCGAUGGCGAAGGCAGCCCCCUGGGAUAACACUGAGGCUCAUGCACGAAAGCGUGGGGAGCAAACAGGAUUAGAUACCCGUGUAGUCCCUGUCUCUUAUAC